GGCCUUCAUGGUGGUCUGACUUAAUUCUUCGGGGUUAUACAGUUGUGAAUAUUGUGUCUGUGGAUAAACUACGGAGUCUAGAUUAUUUUCUCAUCCGCUUACUGUGCUGCGUACAACUGAUGGGACGCGCACCUCUCGUGCACACUCGCUACGAAGGAAGCUGUUGCGGCUGAUUGAGCGUGCAGAUAAGGGAAUGACCAUCCGGACAUUAUGCAGCAGGCUGCAGCGCGGAGAAGAGUCGUCGAGAUGAAGCCGGUCAUAAAAGAUGUCGCCCCAUUCGCAGUACGGAAAAUACGUUGGCCAUUUCGAGGCAUCUGAUUGGGGCUUAAUGGACGUUAGAAGGACGGAUUAAAAAUUACUGAGGUCAAGACUCAGGUCAGUCUAUAUCAUUUACAUGGAACGACUUCCGCCACAGAUACGCGUACGUCGUCUUUUUUACAGCUCGGAAGGUUCCAUCUCUGGCGUACUGACUGAACUUGCAAUUUGGUCGCAUACCAACCGCAUGGUUAGUUCGUGUAGAAGAAAAUAACUAACCACGGAUACCAACCUUAACGAAUAACUUUACCUAGAGCCACUAUCUCUUAGGUACAUCGACGAUCUUCAAUGGGUUUUAAACAUUGAAGAAUUCAACUUUGACCUCGAAUUAUUAAUAGCCAACUGUAGGAUAUCUGCUAUAGGUGUAUCUCCUGUUGUAUUACUAUAUAUUAAUUUCUGUACCGGAGCCCGAUUGCCAACCUAAGAAAAACUCGUUCGCGUGAUGGCCGAAAAGUCGCGUGAAUCCUGGACAUAAAUUUCAUGCAGCGAAAUUUAUUCCCACCCACGGCUGCUUUUUUCUAAUUGAUCCUUUCCCGCUGGUGAAAGGAUCGAACCGGCCCUGCGAUGACCCGCGGGCAGCCGUCGCUUCGUUACGACCGGCUGCGGCUUCGAGUCUGACUCGGCUGCCUGUCUGCCUGCUUGCGUCUUGUGCGGCUUGAAAUACCUUAAUAAAUUAUUUAUAAAGAGAAAGAUUUAUUUGCACUAAGUGGCGCGGCUACGAGGGCCAGGAGCCUCUUAUUAUGCCAAGACACACAGGGCCAAGCACGAUCUAUAGAUACUGGUAGAUGUAUACGAUAUUCAUAUACACGAAGGCAAAGAUAUACUGUCAAGUUAAUAGAAAUAAUAAAAAAUUUCUAACGAUUCGUAACAGUCAUAAAAUCUGUCACCGUUAAAUGAUAUAAGAUAAAAAUAUUAUAAUUAUUAUUUUAAUGCAUUAUUAAUAAUUAAUAUAAUAAUAAUUAAUAAUUUUUUAUUUAUCAGGAGUCGUAUGUCAAAAUUGUAUGCAUAAAGGAACUGCCUGAAGUUGCUUCUAUUUUAUCGAAUGAAUCGAUCCACUAUCGAUUUAAUUGAUUAUUCAAUUCUUUCAUAUUUUUUUACCGAGGCUCGGAGUGAUGGACACUACCGAUAAAGGGUAGUCGUGGAGUGUCAUGUGUGCCUGCCUAGUCUCGUCCUGACGUCAUUCCGAUUUCUGCUCGUGACUUAUCACGCCGGCUGAUUGAACGACGGACGCAUCGCUUCGGCGUUUAUUUGCUUUUCGGUAGAUGAAGGUUGACAUCAACCGGCACGCCGCGGUGUCGGCUGGCACAGCCAAGGCUCGUAAUUAAAGGACAGAACACGAGGCAUGUUACCGUGCCUUAUAGUAUGGCGUAGGGACGCCGUGCGAGCUUGGCCAACAAAUGAUUAACAAGCGAGAUAAAAAACAGGACACGAUGUUAAUGCGGCGUAACGAGCUGAGACCUCGUCGUGUCAGAUCCGCGGCAGGGACGUUGUAAUUCCUGAGGAAUCUUUGUCGGAUUGCACCAUUUUCUUUUUUUUCGAAAAAAAAAUUAUUCAUUCAAAAAAAUUGUUUAAAACUGUGAAUGGCAUUUUUCCUUUAUUAAUAUAUAUGAUACAGAUUUAUGAGACCUACGUCUGUAUACGUAUAGUCCACAAGCGUCAAAAGUCUAAAUUAUUUUCGGAAGAAUCUUUCGUUCCAUUGCAUUUUUCAGUGACGCUCAAAAUACUCCGAGCGUUGUUAUCGCGGUGUCACUCUAGUUAGCUGGGAACACGGCAACCGAGUGACAGUGAUGUAUCACUGCACUUUGUCGCCCCGUUGCGCAUGAAUGCUAAUCAACGUUAAAGCACGGGACACGCGCGCUGACUUAUAUCGAAAUGGCACACUUCGUGUUGGGGUUUGACUCUGGUGACCUUUAACGGGAUAAUUCGAUCACGACUCUAGACAGAAAUCAGGCAUUGUUUAUGGCGAUACGUAGGUCCGGACAUUGUCUAUGCGUUUUGAAUUCUCAAUGAAUUUCUUGGCAGCGACAGUCAUGACGGUUUACGAAAUAGUGGAAUCCGGACGUCGCCAUGGGAAUUCAAUGUUAUUUGUCACCGUUUGCGUGAUUAACGAGUGAAAUACCGAGAAGUCUUUGGAACCUGCCUUUAAACUUAGCCACCGGUACUAAACUAUUUUCGUGGAAUUCCUGAAUAGUCGAGGGAAAAAAAAAAGUGACAAGGAAUCUGAUUAAUUCGCUGCUCAAAAUACUAUGGGAUUGUGGGUAAUUAAUUUUUGCUAUAUCCAAUAGGUGAGAAAAAAUGUAUAAAAUUGUUGUAAAAAUUUUCAAAUAAUUUUAAAUGUCUCGAAAAAUAUUUUUAAUUUUUUGACCUCUUCACGACGCCUCGCGUCCCGACGUCUUUACUGUCGGCGAACUGCCUCACCUACCCUACUUUAACCUACGUUCUUCAGGAAACGUCCCAUAAUUUACAGUGUGUCGCUGCUACGGUGUGUUAAUCGAGUAACACGCCGCUAACGGGGCGAACAUGUUUAGUCUGCAACCCCAACCAGCAACCCUUGAAGCUCCGUGUAAACUCCCUUAGAGCCAGCCCUGGAAGUACAAGCUCUCCUCAUAUUUCCCGCUAAUUGCCGGCAUCUAAUCUCCCGGAGCCACCAAGAAGGGUGCACCACCUCGCAUCCCUUAUCGGGGUUAAAGUUGUCGUGGGCAUCUCAGCCCUAUUCCCUUUUCGUUAACCCUUUAGGAACCCCUAAAGAAGUAGCUAACACUUUGCCAACCUGUGGUUAAGCCAAUGAUUCCUAUACCCGUAUAUAUAAGAAAAAAAAUUAAAAUAUUAAUCAAAGAAAAAAAGCACUGUACAAUCCCAAUCGAAAUUUUUCACUGUCCCAUUAACGUAUAAUAUUAUCAUUAUACCGGACAAGCUACUGGUACAUGAAAGUGGCAAUUUCAAGAGAUGAAAGGGAACAGCGAAAGAGUAACGACGGGUAUUGGUAUCUCAGCGGGAGUAUAGUUAUUUCUAACGACUGCCAUUGGCGCAUUAUUAGGAGGCAUAAAAUCUGUCGCGCGUCGCGGCACGUCCUUUGGAAAAAAUGACAAACGCUCGAAACCUGCGAGAAUGGGAGGGUGGUCAGAGGGUGAAGGGAGACCGGAGUCGCAGGGUCACGGGCGAGAAUAGCUUCGAUGGCUUCGUAAAGAGACUGAGAAAGAGAGAAAGAGGAGACGGAGUCACCUACUCUCUCAACAAGAUAAGAAUAUCGUAGAUUUAGAACGCUUGCUCCCGCUGAGCUGUCACGACAGAGUGAGUUAGAAGACACCGCCACCACGUGGAAUGAUUACUUACGUGCCAUUUAACAACUGAAAUCCCAAG